rnacentral:lncRNA from 1 species
AAAAAUAAAAUUGGGUGAGCAGAAAUUUGAAUUCCCAUCUGAAACACAGAGGUCAACCAAUGAAAAGCAAUCUUCCUUUUUAUCACUUUCCCUUUGUCCUUGCACGUUCUCUCUCAAUUUUCUGUUGAUCAGCGAAGACUGUUUGAUUUUUAACUCCCUCAACUCAACGCCGCUUGUCCCACCACCUUCUCCCACUACAACUUUCUACCUUCUGCUUCUCUCUCUUUUUUCAUCUUAUAAAUCUCCCUUCACAGACCCCAUCUUCCCUCUUGCCAAUCUCUCCACCUCCUCCCCUUGAUUUCUCCCAUCUCAUCAAGUCUUUCUUUCUUCUCUGCUUCUGCUUCUGCUUCUGCUUCUGCCUCUGUUUCUGAUCAUGGAGUACUCCAUGAAUCCGUCUGUUGCUGUUGCUGCUAAUUCUUAUUAUAAGUCCACAGGACCCUCUCGUCGCCAGGAAGAAGAUGCUCGUGGUGAUGUAGAAUAGAGUGGAUGGACGGCUUACUUGCAGGAUUUCUCAAACGCUGAUAGACAAGAAGACAGCUUCUGUAAUUCAAGCUUUUAUGGGUCUUCUAUGGUAUUCGAUGCACCACCGUUGCAGCAUGGAAACACUAUCGGCCACCACCACCAACAACAUGCAAGUCUUCUCG